rfam:Medicago truncatula strain A17 chromosome 1, whole genome shotgun sequence.
AAACAGCCCCCUAUGUUUUGAUUCUUUGGUAGUUUUGGACCCCCAAGGUAAAAAAAAUAUAUAAAAAAAUGACACGUGGCACCUCACUUAGGGUGCCACGUCAGCGUUGACCGAGUCAACAAUGGACUGGGGGUCCAAAACUGCCAAAGAAUCAAAACAUAGGGGGCUGUUU